rnacentral:rRNA from 1 species
GCCUACGGGACGCAGCAGUGGGGAAUAUUGCGCAAUGGGCGAAAGCCUGACGCAGCGACGCCGCGUGAGGGAUGAAGGUCUUCGGAUCGUAAACCUCUGUCAGCAGGGAAGAACGGUCACUGUGCUAAUCAGCAGUGAAUUGACGGUACCUGCAAAGGAAGCACCGGCUAACUCCGUGCCAGCAGCCGCGGUAAUAUGGAGGGUGCGAGCGUUAAUCAGAAUUACUGGGCGUAAAGCGCUCGUAGGCGGUAUGUCAAGUCAAGGGUGAAAUCCCCGCGCUCAGCGUGGGAACUGCCUUUGAAACU